rnacentral:rRNA from 1 species
AGUGAACGCUGGCGGUAGGCCUAACACAUGCAAGUCGAGCGGCAGCAGAGUGCUAGCUCGUGCUUACAGGUGCCGACUGGUGGAUGAGUGCUAGGUAUCUGGGUGGUUGUUUUUGCUAGGGUGCUGAAAUGGGGACUCAUACGGCAUUCGUCCAGAGGAAGUACGUGUGAGAGCAUCGGACCUUACGCUAUCAGAUGAGCCGAUGUCGGAUUAUCUAGUUGGUGGGGUAAAGGCCUACCAAGGCGACGAUCCGUAGCUGGUCUGAGAGGAUGAUCAGCCACACUGGAACUGAGACACGGUCCAGACUCCUACGGGAGGCAGCAGUGGGGAAUAUUGGACAAUGGGCGCAAGCCUGAUCCAGCCAUGCCGCGUGUGUGAAGAAGGUCUUCGGAUUGUAAAGCCCUUUUGGUGGGGAGGAAGAGCAGUAAGUUAAUACCUUGCUGUUUUGACGUUACCCAAAGAAUAAGCACCGGCUAACUUCGUG